AGAACGAACGCUGGCGGCAUGCCUAACACAUGCAAGUCGAACGAGACCUUCGGGUCUAGUGGCGCACGGGUGCGUAACGCGUGGGAAUCUGCCCUUGGGUUCGGAAUAACAGCGAGAAAUUGCUGCUAAUACCGGAUGAUGACGUAAGUCCAAAGAUUUAUCGCCCAAGGAUGAGCCCGCGUAGGAUUAGCUUGUUGGUGAGGUAAGAGCUCACCAAGGCGACGAUCCUUAGCUGGUCUGAGAGGAUGAUCAGCCACACUGGGACUGAGACACGGCCCAGACUCCGUACGGGACGGCAGCGAGGUGGGGAAUAGUUGGAACAAGUAGGGACGAAAGCCUAGAUCCAGCAAUGCCGCGUGAGUGAUUGAACGGUCCCGUAAGGGUUACGUAACGGUC
rnacentral:rRNA from 1 species